AAAGGGGGCGAGCGAAAGCGGCUCCCGCUGAGGGAUGGGCCUGCGGCUGAUUAGCUAGUUGGUGGGGUAGCGGCCUACCAAGGCAACGAUCAGUAGCCGACCUGAGAGGGUGACCGGCCACACUGGGACUGAGACACGGCCCAGACUCCUACGGGAGGCAGCAGUGGGGAAUAUUGCGCAAUGGGCGAAAGCCUGACGCAGCGACGCCGCGUGGGUGAUGAAGGCCUUCGGGUCGUAAAACCCUGUCGGGUGGAACGAAUCUCCUCUUCUCUAAUACAGGAGAGGAUUGACGGUACCACCGAAGGAAGCCCCGGCUAACUACGUGCCAGCAGCCGCGGUAAUACGUAGGGGGCGAGCGCUGUUCGGAUUUACUGGGCGUAAAGAGCGCGUAGGUGGUUCGAUGAGUCGGAUGUGAAAUCCCUCGGCUCAACCGAGGACCCGCGUCCGAUACUGUCGAACUUGAGUGCAGGAGAGGAGAGCGGAAUUCCCAGUGUAGCGGUGAAAUGCGUAGAUAUUGGGAGGAACACCGGUGGCNAAGCGGCUCUCUGGACUGUCACUGACACUGAGCGCGAAAGCUAGGGAGCAGACGGGAUUAGAUACCCCGGUAGUCCUAG
rnacentral:rRNA from 1 species